rnacentral:rRNA from 1 species
UACGUAGGCAGCAAGCGUUGUUCGGAAUUACUGGGCGUAAAGAGUGUGUAGGCGGUGCUCUAAGUUCGGUGUGAAAUCUCCCGGCUUAACUGGGAGGGUGCGCCGGAAACUGGAGUGCUCGAGCGUGGGAGAGGAAAGCGGAAUUCCUGGUGUAGCGGUGAAAUGCGUAGAUAUCAGGAGGAACACCGGUGGUGUAGACGGCUUUCUGGACCAUAGCUGACGCUGAGACACGAAAGCGUGGGGAGCGAACAGG